rnacentral:hammerhead_ribozyme from 1 species
CUCGAACUGACGAGUCCCAAAUAGGACGAAACGCGCGUCCUGGAU